CCCCGCUCCGCGGCACCCCCGCGCCGCUCGCCCCGAGCGGGCCGGGCCGGGCCGGGCCCGGGGCUCGGAGCUCCCGGUGUGGCGGUAAAGGUGCUGCCACACAGCACGGCCACGCCGGAAUGACACCUGAUCAGGUGCUGGAUAAUAUCUUGGCAGCAGCUAAGGUGAUUGCUUUGGUAGCUGAAAUUAAUGGGGCUGCUGCUACCCGUGAGCUUGAGAUAAAAGUAGAAGUAGUCCAAGAACCUGGUGAUCAUUAUGAUGGAGAAAUUCCACAACUGGUGCCUAUGCAAAGAAGGGGCCUUGCUGAGCUGAAGAAAACGGAACAAAGUCAAGAAGAAGGUGACAUCCUGUGUGAGAAAACCAGCCUUUCCCUUGGUGAGAGAAAGAAACAACCUCUGGAAAGUCCAAAUUCAAAACUUAAAGUUACCGGAGAAUGUGACUCUCAGACUCAUAGACAUCACCAAAACAGAAAAAAACUCCAUCUCUGGCAGCAGUGCUCCUGUGGCACCUCAAAGCAGAUCAGCACCUACACCACGGGCCUGGGGAAAAGCACUUGUGACUGUUCAGCUCCAGGCAUUGCAGGCUCAAAGGAUCUUUAGGUCUUAGCACUUCUUGCUCUUCAGACGCUGAUAAGUCUUGUAAUGUAUAAAUAAACAUACUGAUUUUAAAGAUCGUCCCUAAACAGCAAGCCCACAAAUCUUUCACUAAAAUAUAUAUAUAAGGAAAGUGGGAUUAUCUAAAGCAAAGUCUUCAUUCAGCUUAUAUUGGAACAUUACCUGUUUGUGCACUUGCAAUAAAACUGUUUCAUAGUUCCAUAGUUUCACAGAUGGUGGUGACAGUAGCAAUUUUGGUUUUUAAUCUAAUAAUUUAGGACGUAGCAGUCACAGACAAGAAAGUGAGCAUGGAAUUUUAAAUAGUCCAUUCAGUACUUCACUGUCUCCAUCUACAAAGGAUCUUUUGCAAAAUGUCUUGACAGCUCUGUGGAGUAAUUGCUGUACUCAAGUGCUUCCUAAUGGAUUUUUGCUGCUAAUCAGAACAUCAGAAGACCACUUAGUCCUUCUGACAGAGCCUCCUUUUAUCCAUCUCUUUAACCUUUUAAAAUGAGAGCUCUGGCUGCAUCAUUUGUUUAGAUUUUGCAGAGGCUCUCUUAACAAUGCUUCGUCUUUUGCAAGUCCGCGGUAGCACGGGAGCUGAGUAGCAUACUCUGGCGAAGACCUUCAGCAAUCUCUCUGUAAUUUAAUGGCACGGAAUCAUGGUGAUGAAAUCCUGUAAAACUCUGCUUCCAUGUUCAGAGCUGUUCCUGAAUAGCUCUGAAGUGCUAUAACUGCACCCAUCCACCAAAGGCAAUUUUCCCACUGGCUAUGACCUGACACAGCAAAUGCGAUGACAUCUUUUGCAAGCUGCAGUAUCUGUCUCAGAAUCUUUGGUUGGCAAGCAACAGCUGGAGGGAGAUAAAUUUUGUUCACCAGGAGAGGGCUCUCACAGUCUUCUGUUAUUACUGAGCUUGGGAGCAGAAACACCAGAAGGUGAAGCUACAGAAAAAGUCAUGCAAGACCUGUUCAAAUCAGGUUAUGUCCACCAGUGUGCUGUAGAUACUGUAAAUGUUAAUCUUAAAUAAAUAAGGCCAAUUAUACUUAAAUGCAUUUUUUUAACAAAAGGUGAAAAAUAAGGAUGCUCUUGAAGCUUAGCUGUAUUUCUUCCUUAGUAAGGCUGCUGUUAAACAGCGCUAAAAUACUACAGAAUCCAACUUUCUGUACAGCACCACCAACAUGUAGAUUAACACUGCUGUUGGCUUUGCCAAGGAAAUCCCACAGAUGUGUGAAGACUCUUCCUUUUGGGGUGCUUAGUGUGGUUUAAACACUGUUAUGAAAAUAGAAGUUAAUGUUUCAGAGAGGAAACAGGUUUUUUUCAUAUUGUUUAUUACUUUUUUGCCAUCCUUCAAAUAACAUUAUGUAUCAUGAAGAAUAAAUUUAUAAAGUGAUACAGACAUAGAAUCAGCCUGACUGUGAAUCCUCUUACUAUACCUCUUAUUUGUUAAAAAUGAAUGUAUAAAAUCUUUAUACAAAUGCUAUUGCAUAAACAGAGUAACAGAUGCUGUCUUUAUUUCUGCUGUAAACAAUCAACAGCAAGGUUAUUUGCAUUUCUAGCAAUAGUUGAAUGAACUCUGCUUUUUAGUUCUUGUUUACCAUUAUAAAUUAUGGGUUUACUGUAAGCGUUAUCUCAUGAAAUCCAUGCAAGGAAAGGAGAUAUCAGUUUGCUAUAGUGCUUGAAGUAAGUAUUAUAACCAAAGAAAAUAAAUCAUUAUCA